UGAGGGUCACUGCCACCUCUUUGAAUGGGAUCCAGAGUGGGUCUGGGUGGACAAAGCCUGUAGAGGAGAAGGGAGAAGUCAUCCACUGCAGACAAAGGACUCCAUUCUACCCGAGGCCUUCACGAUAGCUCACCUUUUGUGACCACCUCUUGCAGUCGCUCAAACAACCUAUGUUGCUGAGGCAGCCGGAAGGGAGGGUGACGUUUGCUCAGAGAAGGCUGUCGAGAACAGGAAAGACAAAAGGUGGCAUCUGUCUGGAUCUGAGCCUCACCGUGCCAUCAUCCCAAGAAGCAUGACAGAGGAACAGCGCUCCAGAGGAGAGCAGGGGACCUUCUCGGUCGCCCGCUCCCACAGCAGCUGGGUCACUGCCGGUUUCAAUUCAUCCUUCUGCACAAACUCACAGAGCUGAAGAGAAAAGAGAAAAGGCUCAGGCCAAAAAAUAACAACCCCCCCAAUCCUUGGUCCGCUUCUCUGAAGAGAACGUUGAGAGCCCGAAGUGGGUAAAAGCAAUACUUAGGGAUGGAAAAGGAAGAAGGAGGCUCGAAAUGUAAAGUUGGGGUUUGGGGAGGUACUUGCACCUCUGUCACUCUUCUACCUUCAUGCCUUCAAAACUACAUUUAUUAAGAUGACAUAUUGAAGUCUG